CAAUAGCGUAUAUUAAAGUUGUUGCAGUUAAAAAGCUCGUAGUUGAAUUUUUGCUUGCCGCCGAUGUCGGAACUUCCGUACGUUCGGCGGCGUGCAUCCUUGGGUGGAACCUGUGUGGCAUUAGGUUGUCGUGCAGGGGAUGCUCAUCGUUUACUGUGAAAAAAUUAGAGUGUUCAAAGCAGGCUUACGCCGUUGAAUAUAUUAGCAUGGAAUAAUAAGAUAGGACCUUGGUACUAUUUUGUUGGUUUGCGCACCGAGGUAAUGAUUAACAGGGACAGUUGGGGGUAUUCGUAUUCCAUUGUCAGAGGUGAAAUUCUUGGAUUUCUGGAAGACGAACUACUGUGAAAGCAUUUACCAAGGAUGUUUNCAUUAA
rnacentral:rRNA from 1 species